rnacentral:rRNA from 1 species
ACGCUCGACACCUACGGGAGGCAGCAGUGAGGAAUAUUGGUCAAUGGGCGCUAGCCUGAACCAGCCAAGUAGCGUGAAGGAUGAAGGCUCUAUGGGUCGUAAACUUCUUUUAUAUAAGAAUAAAGUGCAGUAUGUAUACUGUUUUGUAUGUAUUAUAUGAAUAAGGAUCGGCUAACUCCGUGCCGGCAGCCGCGGUAAUCUGAGCGGGCUGGCAAGGC